rnacentral:pre_miRNA from 1 species
UUAACUCAAUUUUGUAUGCAAUUGGAACAGCGCCCCUAGCGGGAAACGUAGGCAAACAUUCCAACUCCAUACAAAUUUCCGUUA